GUCGAGCGCGACAGAUGGGAGCUUGCUCCCUGAUGUUAGCGGCGGCCGGGUGAGUAACACGUGGGUAACCUGCCUGUAAGACUGGGAUAACUCCGGGAAACCGGGGCUAAUACCGGAUGGUUGUUUGAACCGCAUGGUUCAAACAUAAAAGGUGGCUUCGGCUACCACUUACAGAUGGACCCGCGGCGCAUUAGCUAGUUGGUGAGGUAACGGCUCACCAAGGCGACGAUGCGUAGCCGACCUGAGAGGGUGAUCGGCCACACUGGGACUGAGACACGGCCCAGACUCCUACGGGAGGCAGCAGUAGGGAAUCUUCCGCAAUGGACGAAAGUCUGACGGAGCAACGCCGCGUGAGUGAUGAAGGUUUUCGGAUCGUAAAGCUCUGUUGUUAGGGAAGAACAAGUACCGUUCGAAUAGGGCGGUACCUUGACGGUACCUAACCAGAAAGCCACGGCUAACUACGUGCCAGCAGCCGCGGUAAUACGUAGGUGGCAAGCGUUGUCCGGAAUUAUUGGGCGUAAAGGGCUCGCAGGCGGUUUCUUAAGUCUGAUGUGAAAGCCCCCGGCUCAACCGGGGAGGGUCAUUGGAAACUGGGGAACUUGAGUGCAGAAGAGGAGAGUGGAAUUCCACGUGUAGCGGUGAAAUGCGUAAAGAUGUGGAGGAACACCAGUGGCGAAGGCGACUCUCUGGUCUGUAACUGACGCUGAGGAGCGAAAGCGUGGGGAGCGAACAGGAUUAGAUACCCUGGUAGUCCACGCCGUAAACGAUGAGUGCUAAGUGUUA
rnacentral:rRNA from 1 species